AUUCAGCUGACAAGUUCCAAAUAUGACGAAACGCGUGUCCUGGAU
rnacentral:hammerhead_ribozyme from 1 species